rnacentral:piRNA from 1 species
UCAUCCCUGGCUCAUUAGCGAGCAUGUGUUCC